rnacentral:rRNA from 1 species
GACAGAGGGGGCAAGCGUUGCUCGGAAUCACUGGGCGUAAAGGGCGCGUAGGCGGGAUGGCAAGUCGGUCGUGAAAUCCUCGGCUCAACCGAAGAACGUCGGCCGAUACUGCUGUUCUUGAGGGAUGCAGAGGAGAUUGGAAUUCCCGGUGUAGCGGUGAAAUGUGUAGAGAUCGGGAGGAACACCCGUGGCGAAGGCGGCCAUCUGGCCAGCACUGACGCUGAGGCACGAAAGCCAGGGGAGCAAACGGG